rnacentral:misc_RNA from 1 species
GGAAAUAAUUAGUUGCAGGGGGUACUAAAGAAUGUUAUUACAACCUGUCACUAUGUAUCAAUUCAUCAAAACAUACGAGCUCUUAAUCAUACAAGAAAUUUCAAAUACAGAACAUUAUAAUUUCAAAAUUGUUCAAUUGGAUACUGAUCAAGUUCAUGCAAAGACAGAAAUUCAAGUAACAAAGUUCCAUUCAACAGACUAGAAAACUAAAUGUGCUAUUUCUGAGAAGAUUAUGACACUUCAAUUUCCUAAGCAGAUGUAAGGAAGGCCCUUCCAGGUUGACGUGCAGCAAGUCGACCAUGGUUGCCAAGAAGCUUUGCAUUCACACCAUCUGGUAGAAUACGGUUCUCUGACUUGUAUUUCAGAUAAUCAGUUCGGCUGAACUUGGUGAAUCCCCACUUUCUGCUCACAAUGAUCUUUUGACGUCCAGGAAACUUGAAUUUGGCACGGCGGAGAGCCUCUUGAGCAUGGUUACUGUUUCCAUCUUUGCAGCGAACAGAUAGAAGAACCUGACCAAUUGCAACACGAGCACAAACACCCUGGGGCUUACCAAAAGCUCCCCUCAUACCAGUUUGGAGUCUAUCAGCUCCAGCACACGACAACAUCUUGUUAAUUCUCAAAACAUGGAAUGGAUGAACCCUGACCCUUAGGUGAAAAGCAUCUUUCCCGGCAGACUUGGUCAUGUACUUGUUGCAAGCAAUACGGGCAGCUUCAAGUGCCUCACUUGAGACAUUCUCCUUCUCCCAACUGACCAAAUGCACACAGAAAGGGAACUCAUCAACUCCCUUUUUCUUCAUGCCCACGUCAUAAAUCCUGAUCUUUGGAUCAGGGACACCACGGCAAAACCUUGAUUUUGGGUAAGGCUUGUUCUUAAUCUGACGAUAACAUCUUGCAGGUCUUCUCCCCAUGGCUAUUCAAAUGGGGCGUCACUGCAAUUGAUCUGCGGCUUAACAAUU